GGGCUGGAGGAGGGAGAAGAGGAGCGGGCAUAUACGUGCAUGGCCCACUGUUUGAUACAUUCCAGCUAAGAAAGAGAAAUAUUUGUAAGUUGCAAAACCACUUGCUGCUUCGUUUUGGCCUUUGGUGGGUGCUUUUGGUUGAGAAAUUAUCUUUGUUUUCCUUUCCUUUUUUAUCACAUUAUAUAUAUAUAUAUAUAUUACUCUUAGUGCAUGCUUCUUUUUUUUUUCUUUGGAAUUUUUUGAGUUGAUGAAUACAUGAAUUAGAUUGUUUCUUAACCACGUUCUCAAUUUCAGUCAAGAUUAUCAAUUCUGUACUGACUGGAAUUUACUUCAUCUG
rnacentral:lncRNA from 1 species